UAAGAAACCAUUAUGUAGGUAAGAUUUAAUGUUUUUACCAAUUAUUUUCCAAUUUAAUCGGUAAAUAACUUCGAAUUUGACUUUUCUCCAAAAUUUUUCCCUCUUUGGCUUGGAUUAAGGAAUUUGGGAGCUAAGAAUCAUGCAAUCUAACUCUUGAGGGGCAAACGGAGUUAAAUCAACUAAUUGGCAAGCUAGAUGACGAUUGGAAGCUAAGGAUUGAAGCUUGGUAGGGAGUGCCUCCUAUUAUCACAGUACAUUUAAAAAAAAAAAUUCCUUCUAGAAGUGAAUGAGGAAGAUGAUAAUAAGAACAAGGAGUAGGAUUAAAGCUUCACCAGAUUUAUCCAAUCUUCAAGGGAGUAUUCUUUAUCUUUCCUUUAUUUUAUCUAACAUUAAGGACAAUGUUUAGUUUGAGUUUGGGGGGGUGAAUUUAUUUUUCUCAUGAUGAAUAUUCUGUGAAAGUU